UCAACAGUCUUGAAAAAGGAGCGCGGGAAAGCGAAAGGUGUCCGGAAAUUCCUGUUUCCAGUUCACCACAGCAAUGCUAACAGAAAGGGUCCCAGCAGGAGAGCAACACUCCAUUCAAGGACCCAACUCCCCAUCCUUCAGACCUUAAGCAACUGUCCCCUGCAAGCCAAGGCGCCUCUCGGCCUUUGCCUACCCUCUCUAGUUGCCAGUCUGGGGCAGCUACUGACAUGCCUACCUGCUCCCUAUCUCUUGCAUCAAACACAGAAGAACCCCAGGAGCUUCCAGAUCCCAGAGACUUCCCAAGAGAAGGCUCUUUCAGGUUUGAUAGGAACGAAAGUGUGUUUGGCUUAGGAAGUUCUCUCCCAGCGUCUCCUUCGAACAGCUGUUCGAGCCUAGAGAAGGAGGAGUCAGAACUUCACCUGUAUAUUAUUUCUGCAACCUCGUCCAUAUUUCUGCACCUAAAGAGUUCGUGGAACAACUACAUUAUAAGAGCCACUCUUUUACAAGAUCCUCUGUGUGGCACUGCGCAAAGUCAUGUCCUCAGGAAUCGGAAGCCAUACAGGUCUGAGGAGAAAAUUAAGCAGUUCUGUCAACUGAAGUCUGAACUUUUUCUUAAAGACAAUACUUUGAGGAAGAUAUUGUAUUUAAUUGUGGAACUUAGAGUGGCAGCGCAGAGAAGUUUCAUUCUAAAAAGACUUUUCUGGAAA
rnacentral:lncRNA from 1 species